rnacentral:rRNA from 1 species
GUACACGAGCGGCGAACGGGUGAGUAACACGUGGGUGAUCUGCCCUGCACUUCGGGAUAAGCCUGGGAAACUGGGUCUAAUACCGGAUAUGACCAUGGGAUGCAUGUUCUGUGGUGGAAAGGUUUACUGGUGCAGGAUGGGCCCGCGGCCUAUCAGCUUGUUGGUGGGGUAAUGGCCUACCAAGGCGACGACGGGUAGCCGACCUGAGAGGGUGACCGGCCACACUGGGACUGAGACACGGCCCAGACUCCUACGGGAGGCAGCAGUGGGGAAUAUUGCACAAUGGGCGAAAGCCUGAUGCAGCGACGCCGCGUGAGGGAUGACGGCCUUCGGGUUGUAAACCUCUUUCAGCAGGGACGAAGCGAAAGUGACGGUACCUGCAGAAGAAGCACCGGCCAACUACGUGCCAGCAGCCGCGGUAAUACGUAGGGUGCGAGCGUUGUCCGGAAUUACUGGGCGUAAAGAGCUCGUAGGCGGUUUGUCGCGUCGUCCGUGAAAACUUGGGGCUCAACCCCAAGCUUGCGGGCGAUACGGGCAGACUUGAGUACUGCAGGGGAGACUGGAAUUCCUGGUGUAGCGGUGAAAUGCGCAGAUAUCAGGAGGAACACCGGUGGCGAAGGCGGGUCUCUGGGCAGUAACUGACGCUGAGGAGCGAAAGCGUGGGUAGCGAACAGGAUUAGAUACCCUGGUAGUCCACGCCGUAAACGGUG